GGAGAGGUGGCUCAGAGGUUAAGAGCACUGACUGUUCUUCCAGAGGUCCUGAGUUCAAUUCCCAGCAACCUCA
rnacentral:tRNA from 1 species